rnacentral:snoRNA from 1 species
AUGCAUUCUCAAAACCCUCCUGGUACUGUUUCAAUAAUAACUUCCAGGAUAAGGAGAAAUGCAAAAAAAAAAGUAGAGUUAUCCAAAAUGCAGUAUUAUUUUGUAAUUCUGCAUUAUUUCAGCUCUUCAACAAGU